GAUGAAGAACGUAGCGAAAUGCGAUAAGUAGUGUGAAUUGCAGAAUUCAGUGAAUCAUCGAAUCUUUGAACGCACAUUGCGCCCCUUGGUAUUCCAUGGGGCAUGCCUGUUCGAGCGUCAUUUGUACCUUCAAGCUUUGCUUGGUGUUGGGUGUUUGUCCAUUCUCUUGCAGAGGGACUCGCCUUAAAGUAAUUGGCAGCCAGUGUUUUGGUUUUGAAGCGCAGCUCAAGUCGCGAUUCAAAGCUAUACGCCCGCUUCCACAAGCCUUUUUCACUUUUGACCUCGGAUCAGGUAGGGAUACCCGCUGAACUUAAGCAUAUCAAUAAGCGGAGGA
rnacentral:misc_RNA from 1 species